rnacentral:rRNA from 1 species
AACGCGAAGAACCUUACCUGGUCUUGACAUCCUCGGAAUCUGCCAGAGAUGGCGGAGUGCCCGCAAGGGAACCGAGAGACAGGUGCUGCAUGGCUGUCGUCAGCUCGUGUCGUGAGAUGUUGGGUUAAGUCCCGCAACGAGCGCAACCCUCAUCCUUAGUUGCCAACAGGUUAAGCUGGGAACUCUAAGGAAACUGCCGGUGAUAAGCCGGAGGAAGGUGGGGAUGACGUCAAGUCUUCAUGGCCCUUACGGCCUGGGCUACACACGUGCUACAAUGGCGGUGACAAUGGGCAGCCAACCCGCAAGGGUGCGCUAAUCUCAAAAAGCCGUCUCAGUUCGGAUUGCACUCUGCAACUCGAGUGCAUGAAGCUGGAAUCGCUAGUAAUCGUAGAUCAGCACGCUACGGUGAAUACGUUCCCGGGCCUUGUACACACCGGUACUA